UGCGGCAGCGACACUGUGUGUUGUUGGGUAGGGGAGCGUUCUGUAAGCCUGUGAAGGUGUGUCGUGAGGCAUGCUGGAGGUAUCAGAAGUGCGAAUGCUGACAUAAGUAACGAUAAAGCGGGUGAAAAGCCCGCUCGCCGGAAGACCAAGGGUUCCUGUCCAACGUUAAUCGGGGCAGGGUGAGUCGACCCCUAAGGCGAGGCCGAAAGGCGUAGUCGAUGGGAAACGGGUUAAUAUUCCCGUACUUGGUGUUACUGCGAAGGGGGGACGGAGAAGGCUAUGUUGGCCGGGCGACGGUUGUCCCGGUUUAAGCGUGUAGGUGUGUGUUCCAGGUAAAUCCGGUUCACUUUAACACUGAGGCGUGACGACGAGGCACUACGGUGCUGAAGCAACAAAUGCCCUGCUUCCAGGAAAAGCCUCUAAGCAUCAGGUAACAUCAAAUCGUACCCCAAACCGACACAGGUGGUCAGGUAGAGAAUACCAAGGCGCUUGAGAGAACUCGGGUGAAGGAACUAGGCAAAAUGGUGCCGUAACUUCGGGAGAAGGCACGCUGACACGUAGGUGAAGUGAUUUACUCAUGGAGCUGAAGUCAGUCGAAGAUACCAGCUGGCUGCAACUGUUUAUUAAAAACACAGCACUGUGCAAACACGAAAGUGGACGUAUACGGUGUGACGCCUGCCCGGUGCCGGAAGGUUAAUUGAUGGGGUCAGCGCAAGCGAAGCUCCUGAUCGAAGCCCCGGUAAACGGCGGCCGUAACUAUAACGGUCCUAAGGUAGCGAAAUUCCUUGUCGGGUAAGUUCCGACCUGCACGAAUGGCGUAAUGAUGGCCAGGCUGUCUCCACCCGAGACUCAGUGAAAUUGAACUCGCUGUGAAGAUGCAGUGUACCCGCGGCAAGACGGAAAGACCCCGUGAACCUUUACUAUAGCUUGACACUGAACAUUGAGCCUUGAUGUGUAGGAUAGGUGGGAGGCUUUGAAGUGUGGACGCCAGUCUGCAUGGAGCCGACCUUGAAAUACCACCCUUUAAUGUUUGAUGUUCUAACGUGGACCCGUUACCCGGGUUGCGGACAGUGUCUGGUGGGUAGUUUGACUGGGGCGGUCUCCUCC
rnacentral:rRNA from 1 species